rnacentral:rRNA from 1 species
UACGUAGGGUGCAAGCGUUAUCCGGAAUUAUUGGGCGUAAAGAGCUCGUAGGCGGUUUGUCGCGUCUGCUGUGAAAACUGGAGGCUCAACCUCCAGCCUGCAGUGGGUACGGGCAGACUAGAGUGCGGUAGGGGAGAUUGGAAUUCCUGGUGUAGCGGUGGAAUGCGCAGAUAUCAGGAGGAACACCAAUGGCGAAGGCAGAUCUCUGGGCCGUAACUGACGCUGAGGUGCGAAAGCGUGGGGAGCGAACAGG